rnacentral:tRNA from 1 species
CAGCAUUGUAGUUUAAGUUUUUAGAAUCUUAAUUUUGGGGAUUAGGGGUCUCUUGUUUGGAGUUGGCUGG